GGGUAUUGCUCAAUGGUAGAGCACACGCUUAGCAUGCAUGGGGUCCUGGGUUUAAUCCCCAGUACCUCCA
rnacentral:tRNA from 1 species